rnacentral:lncRNA from 1 species
AUCUAAAGAUGAGACAAAGAAUACUAAAUGUAAAGUGGUAUUAAACUUUGUGCUUCAUUGAAUAUCUUUUGAAAGUUGGAUUUCCAUCUGUAUUCAUCGGUAAAUUAUUUAUUUCUGAAAAUUUAAUUGAAAAGGAUUCCAUCUGUCUUAGUUUCGAAAAUUUAUCUUGGAAUCUACUAAUGAGCUCUUAUUGGCUUGCACUUUAGUGUUUCAAUCCUGAGCCAAUUCAUUUUAAUUGAUUUUGAUGCUAUGAUCUUUAAAGGAGUAAAAGAAAGUCUUUAAGAGAGCUUUAAAAGAACUUCCAAAGCCCUGAAUUUUAUGUAUCCUACAUUGCAUAAAUUCAUAUUUUGGUAUCUAUGCUCCAAUACUUUUAUAUCAUGAAAGAACUUUGAAGUCAUUAAGAAUUAAGGAUUCAACAUAAUCUUAUGUUUUUCGAGUAUAUAAAUUUUGAUCUUUAUCUGCUCUUAUACUAUACUCUAAAAAUUAAUUAGAUUGCUCUCAUGUUGCUAUAUACUUAAUAUAUUAAAAAAAAAGGGUAUUGGAU